UUUAUGGAGAGUUUGAUCCUGGCUCAGGAUGAACGCUGGCGGCGUGCCUAAUACAUGCAAGUCGAGCGAACGGACGAGAAGCUUGCUUCUCUGAUGUUAGCGGCGGACGGGUGAGUAACACGUGGAUAACCUACCUAUAAGACUGGGAUAACUUCGGGAAACCGGAGCUAAUACCGGAUAAUAUUUUGAACCGCAUGGUUCAAAAGUGAAAGACGGUCUUGCUGUCACUUAUAGAUGGAUCCGCGCUGCAUUAGCUAGUUGGUAAGGUAACGGCUUACCAAGGCAACGAUGCAUAGCCGACCUGAGAGGGUGAUCGGCCACACUGGAACUGAGACACGGUCCAGACUCCUACGGGAGGCAGCAGUAGGGAAUCUUCCGCAAUGGGCGAAAGCCUGACGGAGCAACGCCGCGUGAGUGAUGAAGGUCUUCGGAUCGUAAAACUCUGUUAUUAGGGAAGAACAUAUGUGUAAGUAACUGUGCACAUCUUGACGGUACCUAAUCAGAAAGCCACGGCUAACUACGUGCCAGCAGCCGCGGUAAUACGUAGGUGGCAAGCGUUAUCCGGAAUUAUUGGGCGUAAAGCGCGCGUAGGCGGUUUUUUAAGUCUGAUGUGAAAGCCCACGGCUCAACCGUGGAGGGUCAUUGGAAACUGGAAAACUUGAGUGCAGAAGAGGAAAGUGGAAUUCCAUGUGUAGCGGUGAAAUGCGCAGAGAUAUGGAGGAACACCAGUGGCGAAGGCGACUUUCUGGUCUGUAACUGACGCUGAUGUGCGAAAGCGUGGGGAUCAAACAGGAUUAGAUACCCUGGUAGUCCACGCCGUAAACGAUGAGUGCUAAGUGUUAGGGGGUUUCCGCCCCUUAGUGCUGCAGCUAACGCAUUAAGCACUCCGCCUGGGGAGUACGACCGCAAGGUUGAAACUCAAAGGAAUUGACGGGGACCCGCACAAGCGGUGGAGCAUGUGGUUUAAUUCGAAGCAACGCGAAGAACCUUACCAAAUCUUGACAUCCUUUGACAACUCUAGAGAUAGAGCUUUCCCCUUCGGGGGACAAAGUGACAGGUGGUGCAUGGUUGUCGUCAGCUCGUGUCGUGAGAUGUUGGGUUAAGUCCCGCAACGAGCGCAACCCUUAAGCUUAGUUGCCAUCAUUAAGUUGGGCACUCUAAGUUGACUGCCGGUGACAAACCGGAGGAAGGUGGG
rnacentral:rRNA from 1 species